UACGGAGGGGGGCUAGCGUUGUUCGGAAUUACUGGGCGUAAAGCGCGCGUAGGCAGACCUGCAAGUCGGGGGUGAAAGCCCGAGGCUCAACCUCGGAACUGCCUUCGAUACUGCGGGUCUCGAGUCCGGGAGAGGUGAGUGGAAUUCCUAGUGUAGAGGUGAAAUUCGUAGAUAUUAGGAAGAACACCAGUGGCGAAGGCGGCUCACUGGCCCGGUACUGACGCUGAGGCGCGAAAGCGUGGGGAGCAAAACGG
rnacentral:rRNA from 1 species